AUCGUGGCUCCGCGCUGGGGCUUGCGGAGCACGCUUCCCGCCCCUCGGAGCCCGCGGGCCCGGCCGCCCCGCCCCCGGGCGCCCUGAGCGAGCAGGCGGGGAGGGCGGGGAGGGUCCGCGCGUUGGUGGUGCUCGCCUCGCAGCUGCGCCCGCCGGCUUCAGCACCUUCCGCUGUCCGCCGCUGCAGCCGCCUCCUCCUCCAGAUGGAAAUAUUAAAGUGAAGUCAUGUAUCUUCCAGUACGUCUUCAGGAACAGAGAUUUCAUCGAAAUUAUAUUAAUUUAUAGAAAUCAUAUGAGGAUAGGCUGCGUGCGGUGGCUCAUACCUGUAAUCCCGGCACUUUGGGAGGCUGAGGCAGGCGGAUCACCUGAGGAAGUUCCAUAAAUCUUGCAACAUGGGAUGGCCUUCUUCAGUGAUACUAUUAAUAUAGCAUGUGCAAUUUCUAUUUCACUGGAGUU
rnacentral:lncRNA from 10 species